AGCUAGGCUGAUGCCACAGCACUCUAGCUUGGGCAACAGAGUGAGGCUCUGUCUCAAAAAAAAAAAAAAGAUAUGUUCCUAGAACUUUGAUUUAAAAUGUAAGAUAGAAAAAUGUUGGAUAUUUGGGGCCAUCAUUAAUACAUUUCUAUUGCAGUAUCCUUAAAAAGCAAAAAAGAAAAAAAAAGCAUUUAUAUGACAGUUUUCCUCUGUGAAAGUUCUUACUAGUGUGAUACAAGUACUCUGUUCCAUGCUUAAACUUUUUGGAGGUGUAGCAUCAUAGUUCUUGGGGAAUUAUGUAUGUGGGUCCUUCCUAGAAGAAUGGUUGCUGCUAUGGCUACUGCUUCUACAUCUUGAGUUUUUUAAUUUACUUUUUUUUAUAUUAUAGCAUUGAUGCUGCUUGAUUCAAGUGUGGUGCUUUGCUAGUCAGGUUCAUCAAGCAUCAAGGCGGGAUGCUCCCUAUUCCUUCUAAAACAUAUGGUCUGACUGGUGAGCAAAAUCUUGAACUCAUUGAGAAAUCGUCAUAAAUAUCUUCUCUGAGUAAGACACUUUGGUAGAUGAGAGACAAGUAAGGCACUGUCAAGAAAUGUUUGCACAAGAAGGCAGCAUGUAAAAAGGUAAAAUAAAAGUUUGUUUUUUCAACAAAGAGUCACUGUUUUGCACCAAGCCCUGUAGGUUUUGGAGGACAAUCUUAAACAUGUUAAAGCCUCAGCCCUCUUGGACUUACAGCUUAGAGGAGAGUGAAAAUGAGCUGACAAGUGGUUAUAAUGUGGUGAAUUAGUGCUAUGAUUUAGGAAUUGCAGAGAACUCAGAGGAGAGGUACCAGGGGUAAAGGGUGUCAUGGUAGGCUUCCCUGGGGGAAGUGAUGUCUAAGCCAAGAACUGUUAGGUGUUAGCUAAGAGAGAAGUGGGCAAGUGGGAUGACAUUGCUAAAGAGUAGACAAAACUGCAUAUUAAAGGUAGGGAGAUGGAAAACAAUUGUUCAGUAAAGCUAGAAUGGGGAAAAGUAGAGACUGAGUUAUGAAGGGCUUUGUAAACCCCAUUGAAGAGUUUGGACCUUACUAUGUUGAGGGCAGCAGAAAGCACAUCUUAGUGCCAUGAUGAAAUUUUAUCUUCAGUCACUCUGGCUGAUGUGUAGAGAAUGGAUUUAGAGAGAUGAGACCAGACGUGAGAUUGGAAAUAGAGAAGUGGAAAUGGGGAUGGGAAGAAAUUAACAGCUAAGAGCUACUUAGCAAUUAGAAUUUGAACACUGGCAAUUAAUUAGAUAUGGGGGAGAGGUAGAUUUCUGAGUGAUUCUGGUUUAAUCAUCCGGGUGGGUGGUGGUUCCAUUUAUUCAGGUGGGAAAUAGGAAAAGGAACAGGUAUUAGAAGGAUGGAGGUAGGUGGUCCCUUAAGAGUAGGCUUGGGAGUCAGAUUGAUUGAGUCUGCAUCCCAGCUUUGUCGUUUUCUAGCUGUCAAACUGAUGAGCUAAUAUUUAUUGAGUACAUACUAUGCUUUAUGAAGUUGAGCCAAUGUCUCUACCUCUCUGAGCCUCAGUUUUAGUACUUUAGUACAUAAGAUUGUUUAAAGUCAUUUUGCAAAGUGCUUAACCCAUUUUAAGCACUCCGACAGUAGCUGCUAAUCUGAAUGUGGCUAUAAUGAGACAGGAUGAUAUUCAAAGGUUAGAGAUGUUCAGCUAGAAUCUGAUGGAAGCAGAAUUUGAGGUGUUCUCACAGAAUUGAACAGAUGAACAUAGAGGGAGCGGGCUUAGGCACGGUGGAGGCAGCUGGUAGGGAAGCAGGGAUUGGUAUGAAUUGUUGGAACUGCUGUCUUUUAAUCCAGAGGUUUAUGUCAAGGUAUGGAGAAAAAGUUGCAAGGGAUUUGAGGAAUAAAUAGGAAGAGUCAGCCCCUUAUUUCACCAAUGUAAGUCAGAUACCCCACUUUCCUUAACAGCAGGAGAGCCAGAUUAAGAGCUUUAAAGGUCCUAAACUGCUAAAAUAUUACAGUGUCUCCCGCCCAUCCUCCACCUUAUGUAAUUCAAAAUAAAAGCAAUACUAAACUGUAAAAUAAGUGUAACAAAGUCCAAUAAAGUUUUUACUUUUUCUCAUGAUGA